UUUACUCUGGAGUAAAUUGUCCCAAUCCAAAGUUACUGUAAGUUGGUUUUUUACCUGAUUCUUUCACAAGUUUCCUUUAUCUGUGAGAAAUUUCUCCAUUACUUUACAAGGAAUGGAACUGUGGGGUUCUAGGUUUUAAGGGAUGCCUUUUUACAUUUCACCUGUGUUCCAAAAUUGCUUUUCUCUUUUGAAGAAAUUAAUAUUGGUCAUUCUUCCUGCCACUAAUAAAAGAGAUCAAGGAUAGUCACUCUUAAAAAGGAGGAGAUUGGCCACCUGGUAGGCAAUACUGUGUGUGUGUGUGUGUGUGUGUGUGUGUGUGUGUUACAAAUAGCAUCCUCUGCCUGAAAAAUACACAGAUUCUUUUUAACUUAUGGUUGGGUAACAUUCUGAUAAACUCACCACAAAUUGAAAAUAGUCUGUUAAAAAUGUCUUUGAUACUCUUUACCUACCACGCAUCACUGCUUAGUAUAGCUUAUCAUCAACAUGCCUGGGAUGCUUACAGCAGCCCACCUUUGGGGAGAAUCAUCCAGAGCCUGUUUUAUAAUAGAAUUGAGUUGAGUAUGUCAUGUAAUUUGUUGACUACUAACUGAGAGUGGAAAAGAGAGUGAUGUGUGGGUAUGGGAGAUGCAUUUGGGCAUUUUGUAGAUGUGAUUCAAUGUGAAAACACAAAAUACAAUAUCAAACUAUGCUUGGAAACACUGGAGAGUAUCAGUAAUGUCCCCCUAUCAUGGCAGGGCUCAGUCAUCAUGAGGGCAGGGCUGAGUAAUGGGCCCUGCCCAUUACCCAGGAUCAGGAGAAAGGCACACUGCUAGCCUGGGAAAAUGUCUGCAUUCACAAUUCAAAGUGGGGUUUUUAGUGAAUACACACCAACUAUCUCACUACCAUAAAGUCAAAAAAUCCUGUGUUAUAAUUGUAAGUUGUUGACCACUCUGGGAAAUGUACUCUUCAUUUCCCAGUUUAUCUAAGAAUUUUUUCACUCUAAGGGACAUGUAGUCAGGAUUUAAUACAGAAUAUAUAAUUUAUAGGAUUAUUUUAUAAUAUUCAUCCAAAGAGUCAAAUGAAGAAGAAUAAAAGAGAUCUGUACAUGCACUAGAGACCUAAAGAAUUCAGCUGAGGGCCUAACUCCUGCACAAGAUCACCUGAAGACCUAGAGGCUGUGGCAACGUCAUCCAUAUGUCCAACCAGAGGCCUACAGCCCACAAUAAUGUCUCAUGCAAGUCUGUAUCAAGGAUCUGCACUGGAAAGGCCAAAAGUCAGUGGUCAAAGUCUAGAAAGUCUGAACCAACAGGAUGGCAGGAUCUGUACCACAUACAGGAAGCAAUACUCAGUGUAAGGGCCAGAGCUCCCUCAAAGAGAACUCAGCCAUCAUCAACAACAGCAAGGACACAGCUCCUUGGACAAUGAGAACAACUGAAUUUAUAUCAGGAAAACCAGCAUGAAAAGCUUCUCCAGGAGAGUCAAUAGUGCAUCAUAUUUCCCUCUUGUUCUUCUUUUAUGCUGUUGGCAACAAUCCUCUGGUAGGUCCACACCCAGCACCAUGCUGAUUCAGUGCAGCUGGGUGUUAUAAGUAGCCCAUUACUUAAUCCACCACCGGACCCUUUGACAAAACUUCGUAUUCUGUGGGAAGGUCACACCUUUGCCUGUUUUGAAAAACAUCAGCAAAUAUGAACCAGAGUGUCAGGACUUCCUUGGCUGACCUUAGCUGAAAACAAGAUGUGCAUACGUGAUUCUGAAUAUUUUGGGGACAGAGAAGAGAGGGUGAAACAUUCAGGGUGGAAGACAACCAGCCAGAAUGACAGAAAAGAGUGAGGUGCCAGAGAUAAAACCCCUUGUUGUUGUUCUCCCUUCAAGCCCCAGUGACCCCAGGCUCAAAGCUGGACUGUCCCCAGGGCAACUGCAGAGCACAGUGUGUGCUGUGUAAAAGCAAUGGAAGUUCUCAUUUGAAGUGGGUUUAGUCAGAUCUUGAGAUAGAGCCAAGUGACUCCUCCUCCCUCCUCUUCCUUCAUAUAUAUUCUGUCAAUGGCUUUCUUUCAACAAGACAGCUACGACUCCCCUUGUGGGCUUGGAAGCCCUUGAUUUAUGCGACUUGUUUGUUCAUGCUUAAAUAAAGGCCUUGGCAGAGUAAAGAGGCUCAUUCCAAGUUUCUUUUCUUGGUAAUAAUUUCUUCUAUCGUAAGCCAGGAAAGGUGAAGGAGGAAUGCAGUGGAUCACCACUCAGUUUGUAGCAUAAAGAUUUCGAAUUAAGGAUGACGCUGUUUGAAUUCAAAACCUUUCAGUUUCUUUGGUAACUUACUGUCUUAAUUUUCUUAGCAGUCUAUUGUCUGUCUUUAGACCCAAGAAAAACCACUACGCUGAAAUCUGCAGUCAGGUGAAUACCUGCCAUGUCUGGAGUGGAAGUUGCUAGAGCCAUCCACAAGAGGAAGACUUAGAUGUAAUCAGCAAGAAACUAGAAGCAAAUAAGACCGAUGCCACCAGCGACCCCUCUGAGCAGACCUCAGAUCAGCAGUACUUUGAGUGUGACUGACACAUGUGACUGCCAUGGACCCAACGCCUUGAGCCUCACCCUGGAUUCCAUCACCGACACCGGAAUGGUCCCCUCCAGCCAAGACGGCAGAUGCAAACCCUAAAAGGCACAUGUUGGCAAGAGUGCCUGUAGAAAAAUAAACUCUAGAAAUUUGGUGAUUUUUUUCAUUUGUUUGCUGACAUUGGAAUAUAAUUGGCAGUGUCUUAAGUAUAUUUGGGUUUAAUGAGUAGGGAAAAAGCUUUAAUUAGUGCUUUUAUUUAAAGUGUUUGUCAUUUCUGUUCAUAAAAAUUUCUAACAGCUAUUCUCCGCAUGACUUCUAUGGGCUAGAGGUGGCUGGCAACAUACCAGAUCAGCAACUAUUUCAAUGGAGAGAGGCCUCUUUUGUUACUCGACAAAUACAUUUUAUUGCUUGGAAGAUUGCUUGCUAUUAACCAUGCCUGUGAAAGUCUAAUAACGAUCCUGUGGCCUAAGGAUAUAUAUACUCCUUAGGGAGGAGAGGGUUUGGAGAAAAAAGAGAACAAGCAAGAUGUAUCAUGUACACAUACAAGUUCCAUAUAAUAAAUGUUAUAAUUAUGUAUAUGAAAACAUUGACAAAUAAAAUUAAAUUUUUAAAUUUU